CCUACGGGAGGCAGCAGUAGGGAAUCUUCCACAAUGGGCGAAAGCCUGAUGGAGCAACGCCGCGUGGGUGAAGAAGGUCUUCGGAUCGUAAAACCCUGUUGUUAGAGAAGAAAGUGCGUGAGAGUAACUGUUCACGUUUCGACGGUAUCUAACCAGAAAGCCACGGCUAACUACGUGCCAGCAGCCGCGGUAAUACGUAGGUGGCAAGCGUUAUCCGGCUUUAUUGGGCGGAAAGGGAACGCGGGCGGUCUUUUAAGUCUGAUGUGAAAGCCUUCGGCUUAACCGGAGUAGUGCAUUGGAAACUGGGAGACGUGAGUGCAGAAGAGGAGAGUGGAACUCCAUGUGUAGCGGUGAAAUGCGUAGAUAUAUGGAAGAACACCAGUGGCGAAAGCGGCUCUCUGGUCUGUAACUGACGCUGAGGUUCGAAAGCGUGGGUAGCAAACAGGAUUAGAUACCCCGGUAGUC
rnacentral:rRNA from 1 species